GAUGAACGCUAGCGGCAGGCCUAAUACAUGCAAGUCGAACGCUCAGUAGCAAUACUGGGAGUGGCGCACGGGUGCGUAACGCGUACACAAUCUACCUCUAAGCGGGGGACACCUCCUGGAAACGGGGAUUAAUACCGCAUAAUAUGCCGAAGUCGCAUGACUUUGGUAUUAAAGCAGCAAUGCACUUAGAGAUGAGUGUGCGUCCCAUUAGGUAGUUGGUGAGGUAACGGCUCACCAAGCCUAUGAUGGGUAGCCGGUCUGAGAGGAUGGUCGGCCACACGGGCACUGAGACACGGGCCCGACUCCUACGGGAGGCAGCAGUAAGGAAUAUUGGUCAAUGGUGGAAACACUGAACCAGCCAUGCCGCGUGGAGGAAUAAGGUCCUACGGAUUGUAAACUCCUUUUGACGAGGAAGAAAAUGUUAGAUUUAUCUAAUUUUGACGGUACUCGUAGAAUAAGCAACCGGCUAAACUCCGUGCCAGCAGCCGCGGUAAU
rnacentral:rRNA from 1 species